rnacentral:rRNA from 1 species
GAUUGUAGGCUGCAACUCGCCUACAUGAAGUCGGAAUUGCUAGUAAUCGCGGAUCAGAAUGCCGCGGUGAAUACGUUCCCGGGUCUUGUACACACCGCCCGUCACACCAUGGGAGUCGGAAAUGCCCGAAGUCUGUGACCCAACCUUAGGGAGGGAGCAGCCGAAGGCAGGUCGGAUGACUGGGGUGAAGUCGUAACAAGGUAAC